GGGGCUGACCGGAAUUGACAGCUUGCGCAAGUCGCGAGUAAGCGUGCCAGGAGUUGAGUGGAUCUCCUGUAAAAAAAUCAUUCGAACAAUAACUGGCGAGUAUAGCUACGCCAUGGCUGCCUAGUCUAGGUACUAAGCACUGUCAUCGUCCCGCAUCCGUUCUCUUUUACACGGGUGAGCACGGGGCGUCGUAAGUAGAAGAUAGUCAGUGAGGAGGUGUGACUCGCUGGCGAAACCCAACUGCAUCUAAGGGGACUCUACGGGCCUGAUGCGCGCCCGGAGUACCAUGAAAAUUCAAGCGUAGAUACGCACGUAGAAGGCUCGUCGGUUUCCUUGUCUGGACCAGGGUUCGAAUCCCUGCAGCUCCACUU
rnacentral:tmRNA from 1 species